GUCUUUAGAGGUAAGACUUGCUUUUCCACCUUCUCUGCAUAAGACACCAUUUGUUGAAUCUCAAAGUGGUCUUGAAGCUCAACUUUUUUCCUAAUUUUAGGAUUUAAUCCAUUAAGGAACCUCGCCAUGGUUGCUUCCGGAUUCUCUUGUACAUUAGCCCUUAUCAUCGCUACCUCCAUUUCUUUGCGGUACUCAUCAACCGAAUUAGAACCUUGAGUGAGUCGUUGAAGCCGAUUGUACAAGUCCGUGGUAUAAUGGAAAGGUACAAAUCGUUUCCUCAUCACUUGCUUCAUUUCAGUCCAAGUGUCAAUCGGUUGCUCCCUAUUUCUCCUCCUUGUGGCACAUACUUGCUCCCACCAAAUAGAUGUAUAAUCUAGAAAUUCAAUAACUGCAAGUUUCACCUUUUUCUCUUCAGAGUAAUUGUGGACUUCAAACACUUACUCAACUCGCCUAACCCAAUCGAAGCUUCAGGAUCAUUUUUCCCAUGAAAGGUAGCCAUCUUGGUCUUGAUGGAACCAAGAUUAUUAGAGCAAACUUGAUGAAGCAUCAUACGCUACAGCUGUGUAUUUUUUAGUAUGUAAACUUCUAAAUAGAGCAAUUAAUGGCUGAAUAUUAGAUAUCUAAAUUAUUUAGCUCUCCGUAUUCAAGGCUUUUAAAUCUGAACUAUUAAGUGAACUGAAUGAGCUUUUAACUCACGGUUUAAUCCGAUUCAAAAGAUUUUUCUGUUUUUAGUCUUUUAAUUAUUAGGUAACUUAUAUGUCUUUGAAAAUUAAAAAAAAUUAAAUUUAGAUUGAAUCAGUUCAAAGACUGGUUUAAUCGGUUUUGGACCAGAUUUGACUGGUUUGAAUCGCUUUUGAAGUUGACUAGUGAACCGGACUAGUGCACAGUCAAUUUUCCUUUUAAGCAGUCAAACCGUGUGGAACAGUAAUAACCUUUAGAACAUUUUUAUUUUUUUUUAAUGAAAAUGAUGCAAAACAAUUAAGCACACAUGAUUUGAGGGUAUGAAAACAGUAAUAAAAAUAAGAGAGAUAAUUUGAGAAUUUUCAAGUCGAUACAAAAGAUUUAAAAUGACACAUGGGUCCACCAGUAUUCUUCAAUUCAAUUUUUCUUAAUUGAAUUAUCAUACAGGCCGGCUUUUGAGGUUAAUUCUGGGAUUAGGUUUAUAAAACAACAAAAGUCUGAUUCAGGCUGUUGAAAAAAAAAAAAAAUUAUCAUACAGAAGUACACUUCACAAUUUUUAGCCACCUGUCCUUUCUAGAAUUUGGUUCUAAUUUAUGAUUAUUAAUCAUCUGGGGAGGAUAAAAAAAUGUCAGACGUUGCUCUCGUUUUCACUAUUUAAAUUACAAAAAAAGUACGGAUGCGUCCAAAUUUGCAUUUCCUAAUCAAGUUGUUAUUUCUUGAGCAGGCUACUACUAUUACCAACACGCAUGUAGGAAUAUUUGACUGAAAAAAACUUUCAAAGUCUGCUAGCAUUUUUAAUUACUGUUCUACAUGCCAAAAAUUUAUGUCACACUUAAAUUUUUUUUUUUUAAAUAUUUUUAGACCUCCAACUAUUAAGUGUAUUUUUGCCCUUUAACUUUCUAAAACAUGCCACUAACGAUCUUUCGUUACUUUGAGUCGUUAAGGCUAGCAGAAACAACAUCAAAACAAUAAUGUUAUUUGAGACUGAAAUUGACAGAAGGGUAAAUAUUUGUAUUAAAAUUCAGGUGGUAAAAAGAUACAUGUAGUAGUUAAAAAACCAAAAAAAAAAAUACAAAUCUAAAUAUUUUUAGAGCAAUUUCUGCCCUGUUUCUGAUGUCUAGCAAGAAGACGACUGUACCGCUUUCUUUCUAUUUCCGUUAGUCCAUACGGUCAAACAGCAGGUGCAUGGCAUGGUGAAUGCCAAACAUAUUUUAUUCGUGGAAAUUUCAACCUUUUCUCAUGCCACGUGCACCUUAAUUAAUAUAUUAAUUACAAAACAAGAAAAAAAUAUAUUAGGGAAAUAUUAAUAAGAACAAAGUUGUCAAACCACUUUAUGUAACUUAUGCAAAAUAACUUGUACUGAAUAAACUUGAGGGCCUUCUUUAUAAGCCUCUAUUAAGCAAUUAUUAAGAAUAAGCCUCCAUUAAGAAUGAAAUCUUCUGCUGAAAUAUGGAGACAAACACGUGAACAUUUGGAAAAUUUUUUAUUUCUUUAAUUUUAGGAUACGAAAAAUAAAUGAUAUCAGGAUUCUUCUAUCUAUCUUUAUAAGCUCUGUUUCUAUAUAUAUUUGCUCAUUUUAUGCUAAUACUAAUUAUCAAACAUCCUCUUUUCUAUUUACCUUUCUCAGGCCAAUGAAGAAGAAAAAGAUGUUGUGAAGAUAAAAAUCCAAACUGCAAUUGCAGCUUUAAAUGAUCCAGACAGCCCUAUGAGCAUGUGAAGAGAAAGAAUGAGGCUCAGCAUUGUGAAUUAUCCAAGAAUGCAUCUAGGGAUAAUAGAUGUCAACAACAAAAUCAGUUUUCUUCUUGUCAAGUUUUUCUACAGUAGUAAUUAGGCUGUAGUUUAGUUCCCUUUCAAGAAGAUGAGUGGAAUAAGUAAUGUGCUUUGGUUUUGUUGAUCUAUUUUUGUAUCUCUCUUGUGUGUAUAUAUGUUACACAAGUUUUUACGAAGGUCUGAUCUUUCUACUGUUUGGUUGUUUAGACCAAAGCAUAGUUUCUUCUCGCACUUCAAUAAUCUUGGUUUUUUUUUUAAAAAUUUUUUAACAGAGGAGGGAUGAGAUUUAAGAAGUUAGAAGAUGAAAGCCUCAAGGGAUUUUUAAAAGAUAAGUUGUAAUUUAUGAUUUUUAUGUUAUUACAAGUAACUCAUCUUGGUGGGAUCAGUACAACCAACUUACAAUUUAAAAAUAGAGUAAAUUUUAUAUACACUGACAGUGAUAUUAGAAACAAAAUCCAUGAAUUGUGAGAUGAAAACUAACAUAUAUUUAUACUAAACAAAUCACAUGGAGUGGGGUUUAAAUUUAAGACCUCUAAAUCAUGAGUUGUAAUCUGUACUUUUAAAACUUUUUACUCAACUUUUAUGAAUUUUGUCCUCGCAAAAGUAAUUGCCAUUUUUUUAUGCAAAUUAAUUACAAUUUUUACUCGCAUAUUAAAAGAACUAAUUCUACUUUGUACCCUUAAAUUUGUAUCACCUUUCCAUUUUAGAUACUUUGCACCUAAAACUCUCAAUAUUGGAUUGUUCGUAUCAUAAACUCUCAAGUUUGUCCUAAUUUAAUCCAAUAAAUGACAAAGUUAGCAAAAUUAACAGGAUAAAGGAUGGUGUAAAUUAAUGAUGGUAUAUAGUUUUAUUCUACCUGUGAUCCCUUAACUCCUUUUGACUACUUUCAGCAAAGCGAGUCAAGAGAUACAGAGAAAGAUCAAUCAAAAACCAAAGGGAAAUUAACUGCAGCCUAAUUAUCAUGGUAGAAAAUUUUGACAAGAAGAAAAUUGAUUUUGUGGUUGACAUCUAUUAUCUCUAGAUGCAUUCUUGGAUAAUUCACAAUUCUAAACCUCACUAUUUCUCUUAAACACAUGCUCAUAGGGCUGUCUGGAUCAUUUAAAGCUGCAAUUGCAGUUUGGAUCCUCAUUGGCCUGAAAAAGAUAUAUGGAAAAGAGAAUAUUUGAUAAUUAUUAUUAGCAGAAAAUUAGCAUAUAUAUAUAUGUAUGUAUUUCCAACUGUGCACAUGUUUGUCUCCAUAUUUCAAUAGAAGAUUUCAUUGAUAUUCUUGCACAUCAUGCAUUAAAAAGCUUGUACUACAUUUAGAAGAAAAUACUUAUAUUGUUAAGGGUUUGUGUAACAAUUUCUUAAUGGGCGUUUAGUCUUUAACAAUUGCUUAAUAGAGGCUUAUAAAGAAGGCUCUCUUGUGUAUUUCCUAAAUAUGAAAUUAAAGCUAAGAAAGCAUCUACAUGGAAGAGGUUACAAUAUAUGUGAGUCAGUACACUUGUCUUCUUGCUAGGCAUAAGAAACGGGCAGAAAUUGCUCUAAAAUAUUUAGAUUUAUAUAUUUUUGGCUUUUUAACUAAAGCAUGUAUCUUUUUACAACUAGAAUUUUUAUACAAUUAGUGUCCCUUAGGCACCCUAAUUUUUUUUUCUUAUAUUUUAAAUAGACAAAUUUUCUUUAUACGUUUAAUCUAUAGUAACCCUCUAAAAGUAUUCAUUAAGUUUUUGAAAAAGUCCAACAUAAAAAAUACACUAGAUAUUUUCAUCUUACCAUCUAAUUCAAUCCUUCAUUGAAGUGUAUUACUAUGAUCGUUCAAUCAAGGUGAAGAAUACCCAUUUGUCAUUUUAAAUCUUCUUUAUCAAUUAGAAAAUUCUCACAUUACUUCUCUCAUCAAUUAGACAAGUUGCCCACUUUGGUAUCUCAAAAAUUUUCAGCUAAAAGAGAGCUGUUUGAUUUCCGUGUGGAUUUAGUAGAUAAGCAACUUAAGGUAAAACUGUAUUCAGAAUUAACUUACAAGCAUCUCGUUCAAAAGUAGACUUUCUUAACCGCAUCAGGUCUUUUGUUACACAAUAAUGGUAUGCAGCAUUCAUGUUAUACACUCUAAUGUGUUAACACUUGUCCUUUCUAUUGACAUAAAAAAUAAACCAAACAUAUUUAGAAGUUUAGUAGUCUUAGAAGUAGAUUUAUUAUUUAGGAACUAGAUUAGAAUUGGUGCCAAACUUAGUUUUGGAAAAUCAGUUAGGUUAUAUUUAGGUGUUAGAAUUGAAAUAGGUUUCAUAAUUUUAUUUUUUUUAUUUAAAGACUUGAAGUCCACGUUUGUAGAUUGAGGAAAAUUGGUCUACUGAUAGAAUAAAAUUUUCUAAUUCCUCCAAGCCUUCUAGUUCCUUCGUAUUGUUCUUAUUGUGAAUAGAUCGUAUGGUCAUUCAUGACCAGUCCAAGUGAUACGAAAUUCCACAUUCUUUUUGAUAUUAUUGUGAUUUAUCCAGCCGUAUAGCUAUCCUUCUUAUUCUUUUGAUUUUUUUUUUUUUUUUUGCCUAUCGUUUGAUAUAAUACUGUGUUUUUUCUGCCGUGUGAUUUUUUAUGCUAACAAACUUUGCUCCGUGCCUUCUUUUGCGUACGGUUUUUCUGUUUUCAUCAAUAUUGAACAAGCUAAGGCCUUGUUUGCUAGACAAGUUUUUUGUCAAGUUUGUCUGCUACAAGUUUUUUAAAAACUUUAACUACAGUAAUCUCAAAAAAUUUUCAAAAAUUUUAAACUAUAUACUUCAAAAUAUUAAAAAAACACACUUCAAAAAUUUUUUAAAAAACUUCUACAGUAAGUUACAAUUAAAGUUUUAGAUAAAUACAAAAAAAAUCACUUAUCAAACGGGCCAAAUUACAUAGCAAAUCUGUUUCUCUAGUUUGAAAAUAUGAAUGUCUUCCGCUGUAAGUUUUAUGUGCCAACAUUUUUUUGAAUUAUCAUAAUUAUAUAUUUCUAAUUAAAUUGAACUCUUGAAACGAAUACGUGUCAAUACUUCAGAAUAUAUAACAUGGAUGUUACACAUUAGCGUACAAUAGAAGACCUAUAGCUCCUCCUUGGCUCGGGAACUCAUAGGAAACAGCAUUGACAAUGAGACCUCAAAAGAAGAACAGGAAACUCUACGUAAUGAAGCUAUCAUUGGCGCAUUUUCAAGGCAUUUUCAAGCGCAUUUAUUCAAUUGCGUCCUCCAAUUUGAUACUGAGUUUGAACAGAAUCGAAGUUUUCUUUCAUUGUCUUAAGACUACAGCAGUUUCAACAAUUAUUGCCCCGAAAUGGUUUGCAAAUGGCCCGAGCCCACUCGCUUUAAUUAGGUGGGAGUUUUCUUGUGUGGUAUACCACCACAAAGGCGAUAUUCAUUGAGGACUAUACUGACUUUAAUGGGUGCCUUUCUUUUUCUUCUUGAUAUAUGUUCUUUUGUUUGGAUUUCGCCUGGCCAAUCACUUUUUUUUUUUUUUUUAAAGUCAUUCAAUCAACUCAGUUACAUAAAUCAGGAGAAGUUGUAUAAAUUAAUCCACGUUAUAUUGUGAUUUGAUAUGUAUGAAAGCUUUAAAUGCAAAAAGAAAACAAAUGAAUGUAAAGCCUAUGAACUAUUUUUGGCACCAUCAAGUAGUGGUCUCAUCUAUGCUUAGAUUUCAAACAGUCUGUCGCAACUUUUACAUCAAUUGCAGUCUCCCUCUGAUAUUAAUAACGGUUGUACUUCCUGAUAAAGUUUAUUCCAUAUUUUCUCCUUGAACUUCUAACCUCUUGGCAGAAGUUCCCAUGACUUAGUUUUCUAGAGAACAGUUAACUGUUUCAUACCAGUCCAAUUAUUUUAAAGCACUUUUUAGUAGCCUGAGCAGGCAUGGAUUGGCACAUUUAGCCCUAUAAGAUUCAAUUUUUAGCCUCAAGAAAGGCGAUAUAGGUGGACCUUAGGCAUAAAUUGAAACCCAAUUUGACAAUACAUUCUGAUAAUCAUUAUAGUUGGAAAAUAUUCAGUGAGAGAAUCUUUAAAUUCAUUGUUCAUGUCACGCUCUCGACUUAAUUACGUUAACUUUUAGCCUUAGAUUUUGAUGAACAUAAUUGCAUUUACUCAGGUUCAUAUUUAGAGGAGUAUCAACUUCUACAUAUAUUGCAAAGGACAUUGAGGGGGACUAGCAAUAAUUGAUAUGACUCAUAUCACAAUGUUGAUUGUUCAGUAUGAGAAGUUUGAUUAGGGAAGAAAGUCCUUGCCAGGCUGGGGUGAGGAAACCAGAAAAAGAUGUCUCGUGACUUGACAAGAAAAAAGCCAAUUUUGGACUCGUUAAGGUCCUGCAACUAGCACCCAAAAUCAAGGAACCUUGGUAUUAUUGGAGUGAUUGCUUGGGACCGGAAGAGCCAAGUGAUAGCUGGAUGGGCAUUAAGUGAAAAGAAAUUCAGGAAGAUGCUGAAGGAUUACGGUUGGCACUGAUGGAAGUAAUUGAAAAAUGGUGGAGGCAAAAUUAAAUCCGUCUGCUCCAACAAUCAACUGAAUUUAAUGCCAGGAUGUGUACAGAUAUAGAUUUAGCUACCAUACUCGAAGACAUUUCACAUAUUCAGUUCUUGGAUUCAACUCCUUAGAACCUAGAACAGAUUUUGAUCUUACAAGUAGAAUAGCUGAUUCUGGUUCACGUAUCACCAAAGUUGAGAUUGGUUUCUAACAACUAAGCUGUGACUAUCAUAGGCUUUUGUAUAUGUGGCAAGUUGCUCCAUCUGAUGGACACUCCUUGCUAAGCAUUCCGAUAUUUAUUCUUUACUACUGAGACUCUGCAAAAUUUUAAAUUUUUUAGCAUUAACAAUUCCUUCUUCAUUGCGGCAACUUGAAUAUAAUUUCUGUACCUUGACAAACAUAAUUUUUUUUUCUUCUUUGCUUGAAUUUCUUGGCCUCCUUGGCUUAUGCCUCGAUCAAAUUCCUCUACAGAAACAACCCCAAUCAACAAUUCCUGGCAGGGUCAUUGCUUUAAUUGCUAAUACAACACCAACAACAAUAAUUUCGACAGGAUCCCUCUUAUCAGAUCAACAGCGAGUGUCCAAGACCAACUUCUGAUCUAAUUUUUCGAUAUUCGAGUACUCUAUCACAAACAUAUGACUAAUAUCAAAGCACUCUAUCACGUACAUACAUACAUACAUUAUAUAUAUAUAUAUAUAUAGUAGUCAUUUUGUCGAUACUUAUAUUGUACUAUACUAUAUAAGUGUUGGCAUAAUUAAACCAAAAUUCCUAAUAAUUAAUGUUUUUUUAUUUCUAAAUUAGAAGUUCUAGUCUAGUCACAAAAUUUUAGUAGUUUAUUUGGUUUUAGAGUUUCCUAAUUACCAAGUCUUGUGUGCUAUUUAUAGAAUGCCUAAUUAUUAUUUUCAAUUGAGAAGAGUGAGAGACAAAAAUUAGAGAGUUGUGAUUAUUGUAAAGACAAUUCUGCCUAAAAUCUAUGCCCAUCUCAAUAUAAGAGUCCGAUAUGCUUUAUGUACUUUAUAAUCAUCAAACUCCUAUUCUCUUAUAUAUCAUUGUUAUACGUAUCAAAUAUGCUUCUGCUAUGCGAUUUUAGUGCCUACAAGUAGGGAUGUUCAUAGACCAGGUAACUAGUCCAUUUGCAAUUUCACUGACCCUAACUACAAAUAGCAGUUUGACAAAAUUGUAUUUCAUACACUAAGCCUAUUCAAUCGGUUUACCUGCAGCAUAGGGUCGGGUAUAGGAUUGUAUACGAGUUGAACUACUCAUGAGCAGUUUGAGUCAAUAUUCGACUUGAGUUCGAGCUAAUUAAAUUGAGCUUGAACUUGAACUCGAAGUCAAAGAUACUUAACUCAUUAGUUUGCGAGUUGACCUGAUUAUAUAUAUAUAUAUAUUAUUUUAAUAGUAAAAUUAUACAUAUCUUUAAUAUUUUAUUAUUUGAUUAUUUGUUAAGAAAAAUUACUAUUUUAUUUAUUUUUAAAAAAAAAAUAAUUAUUUUUUAAGCUUGAGCUUGAGCUCAAUUUGACUCAAAUUUGAGGUCGAGUUUGGGCUCAAGCUCGAGUUGAGACACAGAUUGAUUUGGCUAAAGUUCGACUCGACCUAACUCGUUUACAAGCCUAGUCGAUUAUACAGGGUAACCUAUCCCUCUUGUACUUAUAGGAAAAUGGAAAAACAAAAUUAGAUUAACAAAGAAAAUAACACAAUACUUGUCCAAAUUAAUAAAAGUUGUUAAUCCUACAACUCUAAAAACCACCAACAAAAUAGAAAAUCAAAACACAAUAGAUAAUUAAAACAUAAAAAUAUUUCAAACAUUUAUUUUCAUUUUUCUACUUCUUGAAAACUAUUUAUUUUCAUUUUUUUUAUUAAGGAUGACAUGUUGCUUUACUACAUAAAAUGUAAGCUCUAAAAAAUAAUAAAAAAAAAUAGAACGGUGAAGUAGAUAGAAUUUAUGAGAAAGGAAAAGGAAUUUUGAUGAAAGAGAAAAAAUUAAGUAGCAGAGUAAAUGAAAUUAAUGGCAAUGAAGAUGGACAAUGGAUAAAGUAAACAAAAGAUAGGGUUCGAUAUACAAGUUUAUAAGUUGUGAAAACUAACAUGUAUAAUGGCAUGGGGUUCAUAACUUAAAUUAUUGGUAAAUGACUAAAUAAUUAUGGGUUGAGAUUUGGAUACUAAUUAUCUUAACCAACCUUGCAUGUAUGCGGGUUAAGUUUGGGUGACCACGAUUUUUGAAAAUUGAAAACCAUACCCUAACCUAAUUUUUCAAGUAGAUUUGGAUAGCUUAACCAAUUUAAAAAUUAUGUUGGUUACCCUAUUUUUUGGUUUGGACCAAUUCGAUUUUCUUGGUUACCCGUUUUUUCGAUUAUUUUUUAAUACCCCUACCUACAAGUGGUAUCACAACCCUAGACUUUGUUCCUGUGAUGUUCAUAAAAUUUAGAUUACAAGGUUGAUGCUAACAGGAUUUUGAAGGGUAAAUUUUUUUAUGAGUUAGAGUACUCGAACAUCGAAAAAACAUGGACCAUUGGAUCGGUCCUGGAAGUUAUUUGACAAUAAAAAAAUUGACUCUAAUUGGAUAGAAAUCUUAAAAAAGAGACUUUGUUGAGUUGAUGUUGUUGGACAAUGAUUAGAAGAAAAGAUCCUAUCAUAGUUGUUGAUAUUUUGGUCAUAUGAAACAGAUGAAAAAAAAUUCCUGUCUCCUUGUUCAUUCUGAUUGAUUUGUAAAAGUAAAAAUCUUGAUACUAGAUGUCAUUCAAGGAGGCUAAUAAAUUAAAUGUGAAGUGAUUAACAAGAAUUGAUGCAAAGAUGAACAAAGCAUUUCAAUACUUUUAAUGAAGAUUACUUUUGUUGGUCAUAAUGUGGAGCUAUAUUAAUAGAAAUUUUAGCAUAAUGAAGGCAUUGCUGACAUAAUUAAAUCAAACUUAAUGUUUUCUAUUUCUAUUAGUAGUUUAUUUGGUUAAGAUAUAGAGUAAUCAUUUGGUAGUUUUUAAAAAAUAUCACAAAAAUUUUUAAACUUUAAAAAUACCCCAAAAUGUAUUCCAAAAACGCCUCCAAAAACAUCACGAAAAACAUCUAUAGUAAAAAGUUUCAUAUGUACUGGUAUAGUAAAAUAUUUCAAAAACACCCCCCCCCAAAAUAGCUAAUCCGAAUGGAGUUAGGGUGUUUAUUGUUUUUAGUUGAGAGGGGUGAGGAGAAAAAUUAGGGAGAGUUGUGGUUGUUUUAGAGGCAAUUCUGUCUAGGCACAAUUUAUGUUAGUCUCAAAUAUAAGAGUUCGAUAUGCUUUAUGUAAUUUAUGAUUAUUAAACUCGUCUUUUCCCAUAUAUUAGUCUCAAAGUAUAUUUCAAAUGUCAUAUUUUUAGAAAUGUAAGAUUAAUUAGAAAAGGAAAAUAAACACAAGGAAGGGUGGGUAAAAUUAAAUAAAGAAAGUGUAUAAAUGCAAGGGAAGAGAAUAAUUGUUAGUAUAUAUAUGGUAGGUUAGGUGAAUUUUAAGUAUAUUAACGAGUGCUCAAUGGAUACUCGUUAGAAAAACCCUAUUUUUAUAUGUAUUAAAUAUACUUCUACUCUGCGAUUUUAGUGCCCACAAUAGGGUAAUUGGAGUUGGAUGACUUAGAUUUUCUUACUAAAGUUACCCUCAUUACAAAAUGUAGUCAUUAUGUAACGGCCAUUGUCAAAUAUACUUCUGCUAUGUGAUUUUAGUUCUUACAAUAGGGGAAUUGGAGUUAGAUGACUUAGAUUUUCUUACUAAAGUUACCCUCAUUAUAAAAUUUAGUCAUUAUGUAAUGGCUAGGCAUGUCAAUGGGUAGGUUUUAGGUUGGAUUCCUUUAAUCCAGAUUCAGAUCCAUUUAAUUUAGUUAGACCCAGACCUAGAUCAAGAUCCUUUUGGGUCUGAAAAAGUAAGUCCAUACUCAAACUCUUAUAGAUCUGGGUACCCAAUAGACAUCCAUGGGUAUUUUCUGAAUAUGCUAAAGUAAAAAUGUAUUAAAAAUAUAUAGAGUUCAUAAAUAAUAGAAAUACUAUCCAAUUUUUGUUUUCAAAUAAUAAAAUUAACAUUCAACAAAUUAAAUGCAAUAUUUUGAACUCAAAGAAAGAAUUAUUAUUGACAACUAUAUAUUUUUAAACAUUCAACUGCAUCCAUGACAAUAUUUCAUUUGUUUGCCUUUACCUUUUCUCCUUUUCUUGAAAAAGUUUGUACCAAUUACAAUGAUAACUAAGAUUAGUUUUUAAAAAAGAAAAUAACCAUAACAUAUAUAAAUAUUUAGUCUUAUUAAAAAAAUGUAAUUUUGUACCUCUUUUUCUUAUUUAAAUCUCAAUGUUGGCAGAUGUCUCGCAAUCCAACACUAAAAUAGUGAAUGAGAUAAAAAUCAUUUGAUUAAGGACCGGUGACAAAUAAAUAAUAGAAUAAGAAGAUUUAUAAAUACUUGCUCAUUGCUUUUUUUUUUUUUUUAUUCAAUCCAAUCAUCAAUAGUCACUAAUGUUUCAACCAUAUCUAGAAGCAAUUUAGCAUGAGUCUCAUUAAUCAUCCAACGACCAACACAGAAUGCAGAUUCUGAUGCCAUAAAUCUUAUUGUAUUCGAUCCAAUAGCCAUAAAAUAUUAUAUUAUUUUAUAAAUUUUCUCAUAUAUAUAUUAUUUAAUUAAAUAUAUAAGGGUUUGGGUAAGGUUUAGUAGGGGUCUGGAUUUGGAUAUGAAUUUUAGAAAACCAGACCCUACCCAAGUCCAUGACUCUCUCAUAGGGUUUGGAUCUGAAUUUGAGAAAUUAAAUCCAAACCUUAUCCAAAUAUAUUGGGUUUGGAUUGGAUUUUGGUAAGAUCCGAUCCAUUGACAUGCCUAGUAAUGGCUAUAAAUUUCUAUGCCUUCUUCUUGAUGAUUAUCAAGGAUAUUUAUGUAAUAACCUUGAGAUGUUACUUUAAAAGAAAAAUUCUAUACUAAACGACAUAUGAUUUAAACUAUAAAAACAAACUAAAUGAUCGUGUUAAUAUAUACACUGACAGUGUAUAUAAUAUUACUCAUUUUUUAAAUUAAGAAAAUUUUGAAUUAGUUUGAUGCUGAUGGCUUUUAAUUUUGGACACCACCUACAAUGGCGUUGGGAUCGUCCAAUCAAGGGAGAUUGGGAUCGUCCCAAACCUUAUCCAAAUAUAUUGGGUUUGGAUUGGAUUUUGGUAAGAUCCGAUCCAUUGACAUGCCUAGUAAUGGCUAUAAAUUUCUAUGCCUUCUUCUUGAUGAUUAUCAAGGAUAUUUAUGUAAUAACCUUGAGAUGUUACUUUAAAAGAAAAAUUCUAUACUAAACGACAUAUGAUUUAAACUAUAAAAACAAACUAAAUGAUCGUGUUAAUAUAUACACUGACAGUGUAUAUAAUAUUACUCAUUUUUUAAAUUAAGAAAAUUUUGAAUUAGUUUGAUGCUGAUGGCUUUUAAUUUUGGACACCACCUACAAUGGCGUUGGGAUCGUCCCAAUCAAGGGAGACUGAAGGAAUUUUACGAGGCGGCCACAUUGAAUACGCGAAAGAAAGAGAAAUUUUGAAGGGAUUUUGAAUUAGAAGCAUUUUGCUUGGAUGUAUAUUCAUAUCUUAAAAUUGUUAAAAACAGCUAGCCCAACCUAGCACUGACAUGUCCCAUGCAGAACUUUAUCAUCCACAAAUCAACUUUUCUGUUGUUGAAGAAUCACAAAUCGACUUUUCUUUAUUCAUUAAUAUGACAUCAUGUGGUUUGGCUAAAAUAAUUAUACUUUAACAAAAAGCAAACAGAAAAAAAAAAAGAGAGAGCAAAGGAUUUUUCCUACUAGUACACCUAGCUUAGGCGAAAUGCUAUAGGAACAUUCUGUCAUCGGUUCUCCUAGGUCGGUUUCGACCUUCCCUCGCUCCACUUUGGCUUUUCCUUGAUCGAAAGGAGGUGUUAGAAUGAUAUCCCUCAUCAUCCGCAUCAUGAUCAGCACUCUGAAUACUCGAAACCCUAUUGUGUGUAUCUCCGGUACCUCGCAUCUUAAUGGCAGCCAAUCUAUCGGAUAUUUGUGUCAUCACAAUUUCAUGCCUCUCCGCUUGUUUUUGAAGAGUUUGGAGCACCAGUUUGAGUGACAUGUUGGUCUCAGAAUGCUCAGGCAUGUUCCCUUCUUGAGACAUAUUGUCCAACCUGCAAAAUAAGUGUAUCCUCGUCCACCUUGCAAGCACUCGUCUAUCACUCAAGGAAACACACUUACUCUCAAUUUUCCUUCUCGAAAUUUUUAAAACAACUCAAACUCUCAAAAAUUUUAGAAUUAAUUACCAUAUAAGCAAGUAACAAGACACAAAGCAGAAUUUUGUAAAUCUUAGAAAAACUCUACCCGAAUCUAGAACUGUUUUUUUGAGCUGUUGUUUUUGCUGAGUUUCUGGUCAGUAUUUUGGAGGGUAAGUGGUGCUUUUGGAAUGCUCAAAUAAUGUACGAACCAGUCCUCAAAUUUCAGUCAAAUCGGCUCGCAAAGACUAGCUCAACCGAUUUUAGAAAUUCAAGAAUUUAAAGGCGGUUUGGCUAAGGUGUUUGUGGUGGUUUAGGUUUGGUUUCAGAAAUUGAUUUGGGGGUGUCUGGGGCUGGUUAGAUCGUUUGGGGUCGUUGGAAUUCAAUUAAAAUUGGAGACUCAAGAAUUGGAAACCAAUCAAGAUUUGGAGACUCAAGUUUUGGGAAACCAAUCAAGUUUUGAAAACUAAUUAAGAAUUGGAAACCAAUCAAGAAUUGGAAACUCAAGAUUUGGAAAACUUAAUUUCCUUUGUGUGAGAGCCGAUUCCUUCUCUUCUUCCUUUUUUUUCGUUCUCCUUUUUUUUUUUUUUUUGCUUCGGCUCUUCAAGGAAUACAAAUUCAGGUCACACCAACAAGUUCAAGAAAAUGGAUAAAAGGUUAUGUAAAUUCCAAGAAGACCCUAGUUCUUGAUUUAUUAUUCAAGAACUUUCAAAACAAGACUUGGUGGUCCAAGAACUUCAAGAAUUUGUUCAAAAAGCUCAAGAACUUCCCCAAAUUACGUUGUGGUAUUUAGGGUUUACAAGAACAAUAACCAAUACUCAAGAAAUAGGCAUAACAAAAUUUCAACAAUACUCAAAAGAAUUCCUGCAAUACUCUAGCAACUUGGACACUAAAACAACAUAAGAUACAUGACUCUUUUUUUUUUUUUUGUCUUUAAACCCUAACAACCCAAACACAAGUAUAACAGACCCAAGAACUUGGACAGAAAACACAAAAAAGACAAUACCCAAACAGAUUUAUUUUUUACUCGGAUGAACAGUAACGUGAAUAGUACGCUACAGUACGAUGAACAGUAUUCGGUACAGUAACGAUGAACAGUAUGCUACAGUAUUUUUUUUUUUGACAAAAGACACAAACUAACAAGAUAUGAAUAACUUCAAUUAAAAGAGAAUUAACCUGAUGCUCUGAUUACCAACUGAUGAGCAACCCUAGGGGAAGACCCUCCUAGACCAACUGAUGAGCAACCCUAGGGGAAGACCCUCCUAGACCCUCCCAACCUUGUAAUUAUCAGAGUUGGAUCUUUUCUCCCAAUGGAAAUUGAAGUCGAUUGUUCUCACAAACUCAAGACCUCUGACACACAAAGGUAUUCGGCAAUCUUAAACAAAUAAAGAUGGAUGAAGAGACACCACGAUUAGGGAACAAAGUAUUCGAUAAAGUCUGAUUUGAAUCCUAAGCUAUGAAUUCAAGAAUUCAAGAGUAAGUUCGAUUAAGAACUUGAAGGAAAAUUCCUCACGAUUUCUGGUUGUAAUUUUCUGUCCUUUCACUCAUAUAAUAGGUGCCUUUUAUAGGCUAAAACUAGGGCAAAUCCGGCCCACAUAAACCUAGAAUGGGCAUUCGGUCCGUAUAAAGAGCCAGCUCUUUAAGGCUUCCCGAUAAGGCCUAAUAAGUACUCCCUCCGUCCCAGAAUAAGGGACGUUUCUUGGGAUUCUAACUUGUUAUGCACAGUUCAACCAAUUUGAAUGUGAGACAUCUUUUUCCAAUUGUGCCCUUUUGACCGAUGUCAAAUCUUAAUGGCUGUCUACGGUGAUGUUAAAAGAAUCUAUGGGUCUAUGCAAAGUGAAAGUUUUUUUUCAUGCGAUUGCCAAGCACGCACCUAUUUCUGGCCACCAAAAUUUUUGGUGCUAUCCACGCACGUUUCUUUUGGAUGUCUAUUUAUUGCUUUUGUGGGUUCUAUCAUAUUUGUUUUUUAUUUUAUCAAUGUCUCUUUUGAGGCUACAAAUGGAAUGUUAGAGAAAAAAAUUGUAGUGUGACUCAAAUUUUGGGACAUGAAAAAAGGUGAACUAUGACAAUAACAAUGGGACGGAGGGAGUAAUAAAAUACUCAACGAUUAACAACUACUAAACUAGGCAGUCUUAAACCAACUACCAACUAAGCUAACAAGUAUGAGAUCUUUCACUUCAAACGUACAAGUGAACAAGGUAAUUUCAUGGUCCAUCAAAUCUUCAAAUUUAGCUUGCUCCUUGCUUGUAUGGUGAAUGAUCAAGGCUCGUAAAGUUUCCUUCACCUUCUUGGAUCUUGAUCUUGUCAUCGGACCACCAAUGUUGAUCAAAGGGUCCUUGACCCAAGGUUGAAAUUGUUGCACAUCCGUAUCCGUAUCAGAAACUUUGGAUAACAAGUCCCAAACCGUAGUUAGUUUCAAAUCUGUCCAAAACACUGUUUUCAUUCACAAAGUCAGUUUUGCAUUUCAAUCAUAAAUCACUCAAUUUAAUUCGGAAUUGAACGUGGUUGGUGGCGUUAGAAAAUAGACUCAUAAGGAUAUAUUUUCUCAGAAGAAACCAUUUUCAAAAUCUAUCCAUAACCAACUCAUUCAUGAGCAUCAAGUUGCAACUCAUGUGCCGUCUUCCAGGAAGCAACGAAAUGGACGAUGGAUUUCAAACGAAUUGUUUGGCUUGCUCAAGUGGAACCAGAAUGUGAAUUUUAUACCAAUAGAAAGCUGGGAAUGUCUAGUUUCCAGUGGGCAAACGGCACUCGAUUCCGAUAUCGGAGUAAAAGGAUAUAAUCAAAACAAAUACACUACCUGGGUGAAUACAUGAUAAAUUUCUAGAUUUUUAAGCUUUCGUAAAUCCAACAUUUGGGUGACCAAAUCAAGUUAUUUUUCAAUUCAACUUUUUACACAACUAAUAUAACAUGUAAACAACAUAAACAAGCUAUUAGAACCUCAAAAUUUUGCACAAAAGUGGUCGGACAAGGCAGGGGUAAAAUGGUCACUUUUGCUCCAAGCACCUCUUUUGAUUUUCUACCAACAAUACAACAUUAAUCCACUAAUUUAAGCAUUAAACCACCAUUAAUUUCAUCAUCAAUAAUCAAAUCAGUCUUUCCAUCAAAAUUGGUAGUUCGUAGAGCCCACACAAUAAGAAUCCACCAUAAACAAGACUACCCACAUGCAUACAGUAGCUUAGAUGUGCAUUACUACUUCCAUAAAACAAGAAUUUGAGAGUUGAUUGUUACCUACUCCACUUGGUGCGCAAGAGCAGAAAUUUUCGAUCCCUCCUUGGCCCAAGAAAACCUGAAAACAGCCCAUUUUCUUAGCUUAAUGUAGUCUCCAAGUGAUUAGCUAUGUAUGGUGAAAUUUUGGUGUGAUUUGGUGAAGGAUUAGUGAAGAUUUUAUGAAGGAAAAAUGAAGAACUUUGGUGGGUUUUCUUCUUGAGGUGCACGGCUGUCUUACAGCAAGAAAAUGAGAGUGUUGCACGCCACUUUAGAUGAUGAAUUGAAGGGUUUUGAUCUAGUGUGAUGCACCUGUGAGAAGCUUAAUAAUGUGUGGCCCAAAAUGCUCCAAAAGUCAAUUAAGGAUAGUGCGCGUACACGCGGGCUUCGUGUUCGAUUCUUGUCGAUUUUAUUUCACUAGUACACUAAACCUCUAAUACACUUGUAUACAUACUAUUGUUAUUCACUCUUAAUAGUCCAAAAAUAAUGGGUUUAAGUUUUUCAAUUAAUCAUGUGCGUAAAAACGUGUACUUCCGAUUUAAGCGCGAUAAAGUGAAAUUUCCAAGAAAUUCUUAUAACGAUAGUAUUACUAACUAAUACUUGAAUACUUAGGCAUAAAAACACCUAUUUUAAGACCAAUGUGCAAGCCUCUAAUUUUCCAAGCUUAUUGUAUUCUCGAAUCGAUUAUUGACUCUAAUCGUGUAUUCACUAUUUUCACUUAACGAACUUCCGAAAAUUAAAUUUUGAAACAAGUCACUUUAAAAAUAUAACUAAGCUAUAAAAUCAUGUAAUUAGGUCUAAAUAGACUAGAAAAUAAUAUUCGGAGUAAAUGGGCAAUUAAAUAUUUAAAUAACCUCGAAAUGGAAUUUAAAAUAAUAAAUUUUGCGAAACCUCACAUGAGUCGAGUUUUAACUCCUCAAAUCUCAAAUUAACUUUUCUUAAUGUACUAUUGAUCAUUCUUACUUCUCCAAAAUUAAUAUACUCUCGAUUCAAAUGUAGUCUCGAAAAACGUAUACUCAUUGUUCCGAACUAAACAAGUUUUCGAAAAGUAAAUUUUUUUAACAAAACGUUUUAAAAACAUAAGAGAGGUGUUUUUGUAUAUAAAUGGAUUUUAAGUAGUCGAAUUAAAUAAUUCGGAGAAAAUGAGUAAAUAACUAUUUAAAUAAAUCAGUAAUAUAUGACGAAAAUAAGAAAAUUUUCGGAUCCUCACAACCUCCUCUCCUUAAAAGAAUUUCGUCCUCAAAAUUCACAUCUAGGAUAAUAUCAUAUUCCUUAAGAGUUAUUCUUAUCAAAUCGAUCAACAACUUACAUUUUCCAACCCAUAUCUCACAAUUUCUAUUCAUCCAAUUAGCAAUGAACUUUAAUUUCCCAAUAGGUGUUUUGCUUCCAAGUUGUAAGACAAGUUAUCACACUUUACUUAUACCAUUCAUGGAACUGGAGUUUACACAAGAGUAAUUGGUUCCAGUGUCAAUUAAAACUCCAGUUUAAAAGAUUCAAUCUUGUAGUUCAAAACUCGAAUAGAGUGAUAUAUUGUCAGUUGAAGACUAAACUUAUCAAAAUUUUCGGACUUAAUUUGUCCAAAUCGAGUCAAUCAUAGCAUGCGAAAUAAAAUCGAGGGAUUUAAUGUAUUUUGGAUAUGUAUGUGGCAAAAUGCAAUUCAAAAUUUCAAAACUAGAGUUAAGGAUACAAACUUUUCUUUAUAAUGCGAAACUAAAUUUUCUUAAUCAGAAACUUCAAAUAAUAUUUUUACCACAAUCAUCAAUACGUUUAAGAAUUCUUCAAAUACGUUUAAGAAGAUUAAUCAUGCAACUCAAUAUGUGGAUACUAAAAUACAUCUAUAAUAAAAUAACAUAUACAGGGAGGAUAUUUCAAAAAUUCUCUCAAAGUUUUAAAUUAAGAGCUGCAUUUGAGUAGACGUAUAUUUUCGAAAACACUUUUAAAAAAGAUAAAUAAACAUGCAAGUUCAUAUAUUCAUAAACUUCGAUCCAACGCCUUUAUCACCCUUCACUUCUAAUCCAAAGGCUAGCUCUAAUGGUACAUAAAACUUUGUCAUUUUUACUCUCCAAUUCACAGCAAAUAUUCACUCUUAUUCUUAAGGAAAGAUCCGAGUCUAAACUUUGCUCGAUUUCUGAUUCUUACACGGGUUCAAGAUGCAUAUACAAGUUACAAAUACAUUUAAAAUUAAAGCAUGAUUCUUUGAAUAUAUCAAAAGUCAUAGUACAAGUUAAGAGAUCACAAACAAGCCAAGUAUGUCAAAGAUAGGUCAUGGACAAUUAAGCGCCACAAAAACAAAAGUACAUGUAAGCAAAUUACAAAGGAUCUCACGGUAUGCACCACCCCUACUAUCAUAGGCAGGAGCAAAAGCAAAAAAUCA
rnacentral:lncRNA from 1 species